rnacentral:pre_miRNA from 1 species
AGGCCGAAAUUAGUGUCAUAUGUUAACAAAGAAGAAUGUCGUAUUGCACUUGUCUCGGCCUGC